GGUCCACGGGUUCCGGGGGAGAGAAAUACCGCGAUUGGGUGGGACUUGGUGACCGUGACGCGCCUGCGCCCAGUGGGCUGGGACCGCGAGGUGGUGGGUUGCUGCCUGCGAAUUUGCUUGUGGGUCUGUAUACGAGUAAUUGGUAUCCCAAGUGAAUUAAGGAGAACUGUAGUUCAAAGAGAUUUAUUAUCCAAGGACACAUAGCUGCCCCAAAUCAAUUGAGUAACUUUGGAACCAGCACAGGAGAUAAACCUCCCAAGUAUAAAUAAACCUAGGUGGACAAAGAAUGCUGAGAUCUGGACCAACACAGUCACCUAAAUAACCCUGUUCUUGAGACAAGACUUCAAAGGAAUUAUGAAAACUUCAAAGGAAUUAUGAAUCACUUGUAUACAUCAUGCUUUAUGCUAACGCUUGCCCAAAAGGCCUUAUAAAACCCCAAACCCUAAACCCUUAAGCACUCUUUCUCUCUGAGGUUGCCCACACUCCCCUUUCUUCAAAUGUGCCCUCUUUGCCUUAAAUAAAAACUUCU